GAGGGUGUAGCUAAGUGGUGGAGCUCACGCUUAGCCUGCACGAGGUCCUGGGUUCAAUCCCCAGUACCUCCA
rnacentral:tRNA from 1 species